rnacentral:snRNA from 1 species
AUGCUUGUCUCAGCAGCACAUAUACUAAAACUGGAAUGAUACAGAGAUUAGCAUGGCCCUUGUGCAAAGAUGACAUGCAAAUUCGUGAAGCAGUCCAUACAAAA